rnacentral:rRNA from 1 species
UACGUAGGCAGCAAGCGUUGUUCGGAAUUAUUGGGCGUAAAGGGCGCGUAGGCGGUGCGGUAAGUCACCUGUGAAAUCUCCUGGCUCAACUGGGAGCUUGCAGGCGAAACUGCCGUGCUGGAGUGUGGGAGAGGUGCGUGGAAUUCCUGGUGUAGCGGUGAAAUGCGUAGAUAUCAGGAGGAACACCUGUGGCGAAAGCGGCGCACUGGACCACAACUGACGCUGAGGCGCGAAAGCUAGGGGAGCAAACAGG